UACGGGGGGGGCAAGCGUUGUUCGGAAUUACUGGGCGUAAAGGGCUCGUAGGCGGCCAACUAAGUCAGACGUGAAAUCCCUCGGCUUAACCGGGGAACUGCGUCUGAUACUGGAUGGCUUGAGUUUGGGAGAGGGACGCGGAAUUCCAGGUGUAGCGGUGAAAUGCGUAGAUAUCUGGAGGAACACCGGUGGCGAAGGCGGCGUCCUGGACCAAUACUGACACUGAGGAGCGAAAGCCAGGGGAGCAAACGGG
rnacentral:rRNA from 1 species